CCAUUUUUCAUCUCCUUUCUCGACCAAAAAAAACCCUCGACUUCUCCAACGCCUCUGAUCCCUCGUUCUCGCCUCGUCGGCGAUCUUGGUUUGCCAGCCGACGAAUCGGUUCACCGCGGCGGAGAUGCUACUCCUUUCGUCUUCCAAUCACCUUUUGAACUGCGGUCGAUCUUCUUCUUUCGAACCGUGACCGAUCACAAAUCCACCGCAUCCGAUCUUAUUCUCCUUUCGUGAUCUAUAGGUAAUUUUGUCUUCCAAUCUACUGAUUUCUGUUCUACAUAUUUGGUGCGAGAGAUAUUUAUCCCUUGGAAUCCGAUUUGGGUUUAUGUUUAAGGUUUGAUUCCGGUUGGUUAUGAUUCGGAUUUGGGUUUUUGGAUCUGGGUUUAGGUGUUUGGAUUCGAUUCUUGUUUGAUAUGAUAUGGAUUUAGGUGUUUGGAUUCGAUGCUUGUUUGAUAUGAAUUGGUUGAUUGGUUUCGAUUCUUUAUCUGAUUGUUAGAUAUGAUAUGCUUCGAUGCUUUUUAGAAAUGAUAUGUUUCGAUGCUUGUUAGAAAUGAUAUGUUUCGAUGCUUGUUUGAUUUGGGGUUUUCAAGUCUCGAUGCUUGUUAGAAAUGAUAUGUUUCUGAUGUUUUGAUGUUUGUUUGAUGGUAUGGUUGCAGGUUCUGAUGUUUUCCUCUUACAAUGGGAGUGUUUGUGUUAUAGAAACAGCUCAAGCUUUGAAAACUGUUCAGUUUAGUGUUCGCAAAUGCAUAUAUUCAAAGAAACUGUGUUGCUUUGUAUCAAUUUGUAUAGGUUAAGUUGUUUGAAGUAAACAUUGUUAGGUGGUAAUAAAUGCAUAAUGGUUAGUUUAUAGGAUUUAUGUAGUAACUGAUUUUGCUGGUUAGAUAGAGAUUAUGGUUGUGAUAAAUGCUUGUCAAGUUGAUGUGGUUGUGUAUUUGUGUUGAAUGCAUUCUCUUUCUUUCCUUAAUUUCUUCCUUUUUGAUGAAUGCUUUUCAAGUUCUUUUGUCUCUUUCUUUUCAUCUCCUUUCAACUUCCUUCUUCUUAUUGUUCUUAUUAUUAAACACGAGUUCUAUCUUUUCAUCUUUUUUCAAGUUCUUUCUCUCAUUGUUCUUCUAAUUAUAUACGAGUUCUCUCUUUUUAUCUCUUUUCUCUCUUCUUUGUCUUUCUGGAUAUGUCUUUUUAUCCAUAUAGUCAGUCCUCUCAUUUUGUUGAACUGUUUAACAGUCAACAAGAGAGUGGGUUGAUAUUUCCUUGUGUCGCAUUUGGACCAUCACAGUCUCUGGUCUUCAGUUCUCAAGCAAACUCUGAAGAUGCAAGCAUCGGUGAAGAGACGCCUGCAGAGAUAAGGGAAAGAAGGAAAUGGACGCCAAGUGAUGAUGUAUUGCUCAUCAGCUUGUGGCUCAACACCUUCAAAGAUCCAGUUGUAGGCAACGAGCAGAAGUCAGAGGCCUUUUGGAAAUGCAUUUCGGACUAUUUUGCUGCAAGUUUGAAAGCUGCAGGAAGAGAAAACCAAGAACUUAUUCAGUGUAAGCAGCGGUGGCAGAAGAUCAAUGACGUUGUAUGCAAGUUAUGUGGAUCCUACGAGGCUGCAACAAGGGAGAAAUCAAGUGGUUAAAACGAGAAUGAUGUUCUCAAACUAGCUCAUGAGAUAUCUACAAUGACCAUAAGAAGAAAUUCACAUUGGACCACGCUUGGAAGGAGCUGCGUAAUGACCAGGAAUGGUAUGAGCUAGCUAGUUUUAAAACGGAUGGAAGCCGUAAAAAGAGAAUGUGUGAAGAUGGAGCACAAUCAUCAAGCUCUUAUGCAGAGCCAGAGGAAGUUCAAACCACUAACCAGCCUCCUGGUGUUAAGGCAUAAAAAGCCAGAGGAAAGAGGGUUACGGUUGAUGGAAAUGCUUUGUCACGGUUUCAGGAAAUGUGGUCUAUAAAAGAGAAAGAUAUGGCGCUAAAAGAGAGACUGUCCAAGAUGGCUUUACUUGACAGUCUCUUUGCCAAGAAAGAACCUCUAUCCGAGUAUGAAGAGGCUUUGAAGAAGAAGCUUAUAACUGAUAUGUUGGCUACUUAGUGUAUUCUAUGUGUCGAAUAGAAUUUGAAGUUGUGUUCGAUUCUUGUUUGUGUUCUUAGUGUCAAGUUAGUGUCUUCGAUAUGUUUCAGUUUGUGACUUCUAUCACUUUGUGACUUGAUUAUGAAGUUGUAUUAUGUUUUAAUUUAAAUGUUGUUAUCGCUUUGAAGAAGCUUUGUCUUUAAUGAAAGGAGUUAGUCUUUAGUUGUGGUCUGUUUUAGUUGUUGUAUCAUUUUUAAGAAGCAUUGUCUUUAAUUAAGAUUAUCGCUUUAGUUGUUGUAUGUUGGAGAUUCAUUUAAUUCUUAUUUAUGUUAGUGAUCUGACCAUAUUUUUGUUUCUAUUUUUCCUUUGUUGUUUGUUUGAUUUAAUUCUGAGGAAUGAUACUUUGAGGGUUUAGGUUGCAGAUGAGUAUGUUUUCAUCUGCGUAUUUACCAGGUUUCAAAGAUUAUAGAAGUCAGCACAAAGAAACAAAGUCACCAAGAAACAAUGGUCUACCACCAUCUCCUUUCGACACAAAGAAACAAAGUCACCAAGAAACACCAAGAAAGAAGACACCAAGAAACAAGACAAGAAGUGGGCCCUUUUUCUUUGUUUUUUUUGGGUCGAUGUGUUGCGUUUUUGGUCGAUGUGUUGUUUUUUGUAACUUUGCCAAUAAUAAACAAUGUCCACAAAUGUGUUAGGAUCAUUUGUUACCACAAGUAUACAAUGUGUUUGUCUAAAUAAU